CACACGUCCAUACAUUUAUGGCUAAAGGGACCCCCAGCACUGGAAUCACCUGCCCUCUCCCUGGGUUGCUUUAAUCAUGGAGGAAAAGUUGGUCAGGUAUAAGAAGUUGAAAGCGCCUGGGGAAACUGUCCUGAAAUGAGAAAAUCAGCAUGUUCUGGAAUGUGGCUGUAGGAAUAUGAUAAGACUCACUAACGUUUUCUGAAGUUGAA
rnacentral:lncRNA from 1 species